GUUCUUAUAGUCAAAUGUAUGACGGUGGUAUUUCAAAUCACUGGUCUUGGUUAGAGUCCGAGUGAGAAUU
rnacentral:tRNA from 1 species